UACGUAGGGUGCAAGCGUUAAUCGGAAUUACUGGGCGUAAAGCGUGCGCAGGCGGUUGGGCAAGAAAGAUGUGAAAUCCCCGGGCUCAACCUGGGAACUGCAUUUGUGACUGCACGGCUAGAGUGUGUCAGAGGGGGGUAGAAUUCCACGUGUAGCAGUGAAAUGCGUAGAUAUGUGGAGGAAUACCGAUGGCGAAGGCAGCCCCCUGGGAUAACACUGACGCUCAUGCACGAAAGCGUGGGGAGCAAACAGG
rnacentral:rRNA from 1 species